GCCUGGGUGGCUCAGUUAAGCAUCUGACUUUGGCUCAGGUCAUGAUCUCACGGUCUGUGAGUUCAAGUCCCACAUCAGGUG
rnacentral:tRNA from 1 species